rnacentral:ncRNA from 1 species
GGGAAAGACAAAAACCUAAUAAAGCAUAAAAAGCAGAGAGAAACCUUCUACCUUCUGCAUAAUGAAUUAACUAGAAAUAGCUUUGUGUAGAGAACUUCAACAACACCCACCAAAAACAAGCGAGCUUCCCAAGGAUAGCUAAAAGAGUACACCCAUCUAUGUGGCAAAAUAGUGGGAAAAUCUAUGGGUGGUAGCGACAGACCUACUGAGCUUGGCGAUAGCUGGUUGUCCAAGAUAGAAUCUUAGUUCAACCUAAAAUUUACUUACAGAACUACUUAAUCCUCCCAUAAAUUUAAUCAUUAGUCUAAAGAGGGACAGCUCUUUAGACCCUAGGAAAUAACCUCUUAUAGAGAGUAAAACAUUUCACUACCAUAGUUGGCUUAAAAGCAGCCACCAAUUAAAGUGUUUAAGCUCAAUACUCAAUUACUCUUUUUCAUUGCAUUUUCGGUUUUGGGGUACAUGUGAAGAACAUGCAAGAUUGUUGCAUAGGUACACACGUGGCAGUGUGACUUGCUGCCUUCCUCCCAAUUCUAUUCAGUCUACUGAACUCCUAAAACACAUUGGACUAAUCUAUUACUUCAUAGAACCAAUAAUGUUAGAUUAAGUAACGUGAAAUUAUUCUCCCCGCAUAAGCUUAUCUCAGUCCAAAACAACUACUGUUAGUUAACAGCCUAAUCAUUAUACCCUACAGCUUAGCUAAUCUAUUACCCAAACUGUUCACCCAACACAGGCAUGCCUCCAGGAAAGAUUUUAAAAAGUAAAAGGAACUCGGCAAACUUUACCCCCGCCUGUUUACCAAAAAAUCACCUCCAGCAUCACCGGUAUGAGAGGUACUGCCUGCCCAGUGACACAUGUUUAACGGCCACGCUACCCUAACUGUGCAAACGUAGCAUAAUCACUUGUUCUCUAAAUAGGGACUUGUAUGAAUGGCAACACGAGGGUUUAACUGUCUCUUACUUUUAAUCAGUGAAAUUGACCUAUCCGUGAAGAGGCGGAUAUACCUAAAUAACAUGAGAAGACCCUAUGGAGCUUCAAUAAUACAAACUAAUACCUUAAAAACACACAGGCACUAACCCACUGUCUAUGUAUUACAAAUUUUGGUUGGGUUGACCUCAGAGUACAGCACAGCCCCCGAAAGACAUAUACCAAGACCUUACUAGUCUAAGUAAAUCUAUAUUUAUUGACCCAAUAACUUGAUCAAUGGACUAAGUUACCAUAGGGAUAACAGCGCAAUCCUAUUUUAGAGUCCAUACUGACAAUAGGGUACGACCUUGAUGUUGGAUCAGCACAUCCUAAUAGUGCAGCCGCUGGUAAAGGUUCGUUUGUUCAACAAUUAAAGUCUUACAUGAUCUGAGUGCAGACCGGAGACAUCCAGGUCAGUUUCUAUCUAUUAAAUAUUUCUCCCAG